GCUUCGCCGCCGAUGCAUUUCUGCAGCCACCUGCUACGCACAGCACCCGAUGACAUUCUACGCCGUUGACCGCAUCAUUGCUCGCACGGCGGCUACUCAAUCUAUACCACAAACGUAUCGCCAUCUACCGCGACGACUGAAGUGCUGGUGGACGACUCUGUACGCUAUGUGCACAUCACUGCAUGGGACACCCGACGCAGCGC